UCUCAUUAGUGUGUUAAUUUGCAUAGCUUUGAUUACUAGCGCGAUGGAACCUUUCCCACUAUUUGUUAAACAACUAAGUUUCCUCCUUCGUGAAUUUCCCCUUUGUCCUUUGUCUGUUCAUCUCUCUGGGGUUUUUGUCAUCCCUAUUUACAUAGAAGAAGGCACCAGCUUUGCCCAGAGAAAGGCCUUCUGUGUGCAGCUCGGUGGAGCGCGUCCCCUGCUGAGUUAUGACAGACUCAGAAUUCAGAGAGAAUAGGCUAGGAAGGGGAAACCAGAAAAACAAGAAGGAUAAAGGCCAUAUGUUUCUCUGCUGUGGGUGAAACAGAAGGUCAUAUUAUUGCAGUAAAGUGGCUCUGUACCAUAACCUAACUCGAACUUACUUCUUAACGCCGGUACUGUAGAUGUUGGCCAUUCUUCCAGUACUCCAUGCAUGUUGUGUAAUACCAGGACGCUUCUUCCGGCCAAGUGCAGGACCAGCAGAUAGGACCCAAAGGCUGGGAAGGACUCUGCAACUACCUUUGUCCCUUUUCACCAGGAUUCUUUGGUUUCACAAUCUCACCAAGCUUCUGUCCAAAAGGAAGGCUGUACCAAGCAGUGCCCUCCUGUGAGCCAGUGGCAGUCGUGAGCUGGGAGGAGAACCAAGAAGCCAACUCAUGCCUUCCUGUGAGCCAGCCGGUGCACAGCUGGGAGACAAGAAGCAACCAGCUGAUUCAGGGGAACUCAGCCCAAGAUGAUAGCAACUGAAGAUGAAACAUUUGGGCCCUCUGGAUCAUUCUAGUCUAUUUUAGCAAGAGACUUCUACCUGAAUCACAUUAAUACCUCGAAAGACUCUGGACUCCCUUGAGACAGAAACUGGAACCAACUUAACUCAGAAGAAGAUUAGAUUCAGCUCUAACAGGGGCUGACCAAGGAGCCCAAGCUGGUCUCAGCCUUUCCACUGCUGGGACCACAGGCGUGGGUGACCAGCCCAGCUUCUCCAACCCAUUUUAUUCAGUUCUCAGGAUGUACUGGCAACACCUACAUGGAGUGCAACAGAAGGCUCAUAAGUGGAAGUUAAAUGUGGCCUAAGGCCCCUGCCACUGUGGAGCUGGAGGAAUCAUUCGACAGUUCUAGAAAAGUACAAUUAAGGUGCUGGCUCUACGUUGCACGUAUAUGUAAAAAUCCUGCAAAGUCAAUGUGUAUUUGGGCUUUGUGCUACCAAAUUUUACUUGAAAACAGAAGAGAGGUUGUUACCAACCUGCUCCCAGGACAUCCCUAGGGGUUUACAUGCUGGUGGCCCGCGAGGGGAUCGCACCCUCCUUCCUGCCCACUCCCACUGCCGCUGCUUUCUUUAGGUGCGUUUCUUGCAUUCCAGUGCUUGUCUGGAGGAACUCAGAAAGAGUGGCUCCCCUCCCUGCAUGAAUCUGUAAAGGCCUACCUCCCCCUACUUUCUACCAAAAUGUCCUUUUGCUAAAAACUGAAAAAAAUCUCCAACUUUAUCAUUUUCUGACCACCUGCCAUUUGCUAGGUUUGCUUCUGGCACUAUUUUAGCUGCGGCUUCUCAGAUUAUCUCCCAUCUAUUCCCCCUUGUGAUCUUUUUUUAAGCUAAAUCAAGGACACACUAAAAAAAGGAAGCUAUCCCUUGAUGAGAACAUGCUAGAAUACGUCCUUUCAUCCAUUCUGAGAGCAGUAGCACUCAUGGAUUUUAUUUUGUUUUUUUGAGGCAGGGCCUCCCUAUGUAGUGCAGGCUGGCUUUGAACUCACUGUAUGGCCCAGGCUGGCCUCAAACUCAGUGUUCUUUCUGCCUCAGCUUCUUAAAUGUUGGGAUUACAGAUGUGUGCCAUCACACCUGGGUAAUAUAUUUAAAUAAUGAAUUAUCAUUACUGCUUAGUCCCUAUAUCUGAGGUAAACAUAAAAUUAAAGGAAGUAUAUUUUCAAUUUAAAGAAUAUAAGUAGAACAAAUUAUUAAUUAAAAUAUGUAUGAAUUAUUAAUUGACUAAUUUCAUAGUUAAAAGUUGAAGGCCAAUUACUAACUUUCUUUCAUUAGGCAGCUCAGGUUAUAUAAUUUUGGAAAAAACCUCCAGUUGGCAAUUUACAAAGCUGAUCAUCUGAAUUUAUAUUGUAGGAAUCAAGCUUCAUAAAAAAAUAGAAAUAAUCUUUAAAGAGAUGGUGUCCUGUAAACUUGAUUACUAUUGUAGUCAUAAUCAUAAUUUCCUUUGAGAUUUAUGGAAAUCAAGUACACAAUAAAUAUGAUCAAAUCUUGAAAUUAUUUGGCAAAAUAACUUACAUGGUGUCUGUGUAACCCAUGGCUACAGGAAGCAGGUGACAGUACAAAGUGGCGAACAGAGACACAUGCCUUUAGUGUUUUUCUUAAAAUACAUUUUUCUUGACCUUAGUUAGUAGACAGAUGCACAGAAGUGUAAUUUUGUUGCUUAAGACAGAGGGUCAGGGAUGUGUGUAUGGUGUGAUCCCACCACUCAGGAGGCUGAGGCAGGAGAAUCAAUGUGAUUUUGAGACUGGCUUGGGCUACAAGCAAGUUCAACACUAGCUUAACCUUGUCUCAAGACAAGACAAAACAAAACACAAAGACAAAAACUAAAUUUUUAAAAAGUUUGCCUGAUAGGUGAACUAUAUCAAUGUUUCUUCUACUUUUAUAAAACAGAUGAAGUUUAAAUGUUUUAAAAUAACAGUAGCAGAAGUUUCAAAUUAAACACCUUAUUUCCCCCCUCCCCCCCCCCCGUGAUGUUUUUGAGACACCAUCUUGCUAUGUAGUUUAGGCAGCCUUGAACUAAAGGUGAUCUUCCUGCUUCAGCCUCCCCACGCUGAGAUUACAGGUGUGCCCCACUAUGCCUGGCAAAUAUCCUUUUUGAAAUAUAUUCUUAUGGUUCAAAUAUCCAGAAGUUUAAAUAUUCAUAGUGAAAAGUCUGUCUGCCUUCUUUACUGAGUUUUCACACCGAGUAUGUUCUCUUUUUAACACAGACGUAAAUUAACGCCUUGUUCUGCACCAUUUUGUAUCUGGAAAAUCUUUUAAAAAAUUUUCCCUUUGGUGGAACUGGGAAUUGAAUCCAGUGCCUUCCCAUUGAGCUACUUCCCCAGUCCUCCUCCAUUUUUAUUUUUCAUUCUGUGACAGGGUCUCCUUAGGUUGAUAAAUUGCUCAGGCUAUUCUUGAAUUUUCCAGAUCCCUAUUUCAGCCUCCCAGAGGGGUAAGAUUAUAGGUGCACACCACCCUUCUCAGUCUAGGAAAUCUUAAUUUUUUUUGAGGAAGGGUCUCACUAAGUGUUCCAGACUGGCCUUAAAGUCACUUAUGUAGACCAGGUUGGACUCGAACUCAUAGUAAUCCUCCUGCCUCAGCAUCCUAAGUGCUGGGAUGACAGACAUGCACCACCAUGCCUGAUCAGAAAUCUUAAUAUUGAAUCAUAAAAAAUCUUUCUUUUUGGUUUAGCAGCUGUAUAAUGUUCAAAUGCAUAGACACAUCAUAAUUAGUAUCUUGAUAGAUAUUUAUAUUAUUCCCAGUCUUUUGCAAGUCUUUUUUUUUUCCUGUACUAUUGAUUAAACCCAGGGGCUUCCAAAUGAGCUACAAAAGUUCUUCAGGCUCCAAUUUGCAGUCAUCCUGCCUCAGCUUCUUAGAGUGCUGGGAUUAGAGGCCUGUGCCAUCAAAACUGGUUAUU